UGCCAUGAAAUAUAACUUGUUGUUUGAAAGUCCUAGCUCAAGUUUUUCCUUUAAGGCAAUAAUUGUAGAAUAUCUCAUAAAUGAAAACAUAACGUGGUAGAGUCAACUCUUGCCCGUGGGGUAUAAUUUGUUGUUUGAAAGUCCCUGAGCUAAGUCUUUCCUCUAAGGUAAGAGUUAUAAAAAUCUCAUAAAUCAAAAUACAAUGUGGUAGUGUCGACUCUUGCCCCUGAAAUAUAAUUUGUUGUUUGAAAGUCAAAAGUCUUGCCUCUACAAUGUAGUAGGUCAACUCUUGCCCAUGAAACGUAGCUUAUUGUUCGAAAGUCGUAAGUCUUGCCUUUAUAAUGUGAUAUUGUCAACUCUUGCUCAUGAGAUGUAACUUGAAUGGAAGAAAUCGAAGAAAAAAAUAAAAAUAAUAAAAAUUAUGGAAAAAGAAGAAAAUGAAGAAAAAUAUUUAAAAAAUAAAAAUCAAAGAAAAUGUAGAAGUUGACAGAGAAUAGGAAAAAAAUAAAGGUUGGUAAAAAAAAAAGAUUAAAUAAAAAAAAGAUCGAGAAAAAUUUAAAAAGAAAAAAAUCAAAGAAAAAUAAAAAAAGUUUUUAUUUUAUAAAAGUAGACGUUGAAAGAUGUAAAUAAAAAAAGUAAGGGUUGAGAAAAACUAAAAAGAACAAAAAAAAAAGGAAAAAAAAUAAAAAUAAUAUAAAAUAAAAAAGAAAAAAAAGAAGUUGAGAGGAAAAAAGGAAAAAAGUAAGGGUUGAGAAAAUUAAAAAUAAAAAGAGAAAAGUAAA
rnacentral:lncRNA from 1 species